rnacentral:rRNA from 1 species
GGACGGAGAAGGCUAUGUUGGCCGGGCGACGGUUGUCCCGGUUUAAGCGUGUAGGUGUGUGUUCCAGGUAAAUCCGGUUCACUUUAACACUGAGGCGUGAUGACGAGGCACUACGGUGCUGAAGCAACAAAUGCCCUGCUUCCAGGAAAAGCCUCUAAGCAUCAGGUAACAUCAAAUCGUACCCCAAACCGACACAGGUGGUCAGGUAGAGAAUACCAAGGCGCUUGAGAGAACUCGGGUGAAGGAACUAGGCAAAAUGGUGCCGUAACUUCGGGAGAAGGCACGCUGACAC